rnacentral:tRNA from 2 species
UGAUGGUUUAAUUCCUUCCCUUACUA